rnacentral:misc_RNA from 1 species
UUCCCGUCCAUCAAGCAAAAUGCUAAGAUAUCUAUACAUAUUACUCUGGAUCAUCAACUUGAUAUCCUGCAGUUCCUCUGCUGUAAACUUGUUCCCAUACAAAAAUUUGGCCUGCUUGAAGAUAGUGCUGGUUCCAGAGCCUUCAAGGCCAAGCAGAAGAAGUUUCUGUACUUUUUUCUGCUCUAGAUAAUUUGGAACCGUAGUAUAAUUACUAGCCUCAUCUCUCUGU